UUUUAUUAUACUUUUUCAAAA
rnacentral:piRNA from 1 species